rnacentral:rRNA from 1 species
AUUGAACGCUGGCGGAAUGCUUUACACAUGCAAGUCGAACGGUAGAGGGGGCAACCCCUCGAGAGUGGCGAACGGGUGAGUAAUAUAUCGGAACGUGCCCAGUCGUGGGGGAUAACGUAGCGAAAGUUACGCUAAUACCGCAUACGAUCUAAGGAUGAAAGCGGGGGAUCGCAAGACCUCGCGCGAUUGGAGCGGCCGAUAUCAGAUUAGGUAGUUGGUGGGGUAAAGGCUCACCAAGCCAACGAUCCGUAGCUGGACUGAGAGGACGACCAGCCACACUGGAACUGAGACACGGUCCAGACCCCUACGGGAGGCAGCAGUGGGGAAUUUUGGACAAUGGACGCAAGUCUGAUCCAGCCAUUCCGCGUGCAGGAUGAAGGCCCUCGGGUUGUAAACUGCUUUUGUACGGAACGAAAAGGUCUCUCUUAAUACGGGGGACUCAUGACGGUACCGUAAGAAUAAGCACCGGCUAACUACGUGCCAGCAGCCGCGGUAA